UAGAGCUGUUGUUUAUUUAGCCUUAGCUAGAUCAUUUUUAUGUUCUUGUAAACAUUGGGCUAGGGUUCUGUUAGUCAUUCCGAUAUACACCGCUUGUUUCUUUGUCUCCUGAUUAGUGUCUGGUAUCCUAUAAACUCCUUUUUUUUCAUGCUCUUCUAUCUGAUCUUUCUCAUUUCUAGGUCUGCUGAAGACUGUCGGGGCUCUACUAACGGCUGUUCCUUUCUCCAUCUUCUUAGCUAUUUUCUUAGCAAAGGUCAUCUUCUAAAAGAGGGUAUGGUACUGGUAUAUAGCCAGACCUUGCUGCCAACGGGUUCUCUUCCAUGUGUCACACUCUGUAGAUUUCUUUUCACUGAUUUAUGGAUGCAGUUUAAGAAUUUCUUCCCAUAGCCAUGCUUGUACCCUAUGUUGUAGAUGUAGUUGAUCUCCUGUUUUAGAUCCCUUUGAUCUGUGGUGUAUAUUUCUGCCCUUUUGAAAAAUGAUCUGAAUGCAGCUUUCUUAUGUUUUAUGGGGUCGUCUGACCGUCUGGGGGUUGGGAUAGGCC
rnacentral:lncRNA from 1 species